AGCGAACGCUAGCGGCGGGCCUAACACAUGCAAGUCGAGCGCAUACCUUCGGGUAUGAGCGGCGGACGGGUGAGUAACGCGUAGGUCAUCUACCCUUUGGUGGGGGAUAACCCAGGGAAACUUGGGCUAAUACCGCACGAGGUCUACGGAUCAAAGCCUUCGGGCGCCAGAGGAUGAGCCUGCGUCGCAUUACCUAGUUGGCGGGGUAACGGCCCACCAAGGGGACGAUGCGUAGCUGGUCUGAGAGGAUGAUCAGCCACACUGGGACUGAGACACGGCCCAGACUCCUACGGGAGGCAGCAGUGGGGAAUAUUGCGCAAUGGGGGGAAACCCUGACGCAGCCACGCCGCGUGGGUGAUGAAGGGCCUUCGGGUUGUAAAGCCCUGUCGGGAGGGACGGAAUUCUUGACGGUACCUCCAAAGAAAGACACCGGCUAACUCCGUGCCAGCAGCCGCGGUAAU
rnacentral:rRNA from 1 species